rnacentral:misc_RNA from 1 species
GAACUGCGAUAAGUAAUGUGAAUUGCAGAAUUCAGUGAAUCAUCGAGUCUUUGAACGCACAUUGCGCCCCCUGGCAUUCCGGGGGGCAUGCCUGUCCGAGCGUCAUUGCUGCCCUUCAAGCCCGGCUUGUGUGUUGGGUCGUCGUCCCCUCCGGGGGACGGGCCCGAAAGGCAGCGGCGGCACCGCGUCCGGUCCUCGAGCGUAUGGGGCUUUGUCACCCGCUCGAUAAGGACCGGCCGGGCGCCAGCCGGCGUCUCCAACCUUUUUUUCUCAGGUUGACCUUGGAUCAGGUAGGGAUACCCGCUGAACUUAAGC